GCGAAUGUGGCGAAGUGGUUAACGCACCGGAUUGUGGCUCCGGCAUUCGUGAGUUCGAUUCUCAUCAUUCGCC
rfam:Enterococcus cecorum DSM 20682 = ATCC 43198 genomic scaffold adfme-supercont2.1, whole genome shotgun sequence.